rnacentral:rRNA from 1 species
GACGAACGCUGGCGGCGUGCCUAAUACAUGCAAGUUGAGCGCUGAAGGUUGGUACUUGUACCAACUGGAUGAGCAGCGAACGGGUGAGUAACGCGUGGGGAAUCUGCCUUUGAGCGGGGGACAACAUUUGGAAACGAAUGCUAAUACCGCAUAAAAACUUUAAACACAAGUUUUAAGUUUGAAAGAUGCAAUUGCAUCACUCAAAGAUGAUCCCGCGUUGUAUUAGCUAGUUGGUGAGGUAAAGGCUCACCAAGGCGAUGAUACAUAGCCGACCUGAGAGGGUGAUCGGCCACAUUGGGACUGAGACACGGCCCAAACUACUACGGGAGGCAGAAGUAGGGAAUCUUCGGCAAUGGACGAAAGGCGGAACGAGCAACGCCGCGUGAGUGAAGAAGGUUGUCGGAUCGUAAAACUCUGUUGGUAGAGAAGAACGUUGGGGAGAGUGGAAAGCGCAUCAAGUGACGGUAACUACCCAGAAAGGGACGGCUAACUACGUG